AUUUCCAGAAACAGAAGACCUUACCAGGAAGCGAUAGUCCAAGUUAAAUGACAUCAUGUGAGGCAAUAGGCAUAACAAAAUGAACAUAGAUGGUUUGCUAAUAAAAUAUAAUAUAAAAUAUAUCAUAUGUACAAUAUUUAAAAGAAACAGUAUAGAAGCCCAAAAAUAAGGGUCCAAUGUGCAUGACAUACCACAAAUGUGUAAAUAUUUUUAUAAAUUACUGAUCUAUCUAAAUACUAUAGUUUUGAGAGCAGGCAGAAUUAGUACUCUUCCAGAAAAAUUCAAUGGUGUAACUAUAGUCUGACAGCUAGAAUUAAUCUCAAGUCAAUAACGAUAGUGCUUUCCUAUCAUAAUUUUAAGCAGUCUGAGUCUUUUGUUACCACAUUUCUGAGGUAAUGUAUAAUUAAUUAUUAGAUUUUUAUAUUCCCUAGUCGAUAAUUUAUAUAUUCCAUAUUAAAAAUAAUACAAAAUAGUACAUUUUUCAUUCAAGCCUUGAGGUUAACCAGCACAUGGCUUUGAGAAACAAAGCUCUUAUAUUUUUGAAAUUGUCAACAUCUGUCAAAGUACUAAUAAAUCUUAACAGUUUACUGAUGUCUCCCAUAAAAAGAAAAGAAUGCAGUGUAUUCUAAAAAAGAUGCUUCAAGUGCUGUUUGAAAUUCAGUCUAGUUUAGAAUAAGUGAUUUCAAUGGUUUUUCAAAUAUAAAGUAUAGCUGCUCAGAAGAACUCCAAGACAACACUGCUUCAUCCUCAACACUUGCAGUGUGCCUGAAGCCCCUCUGAUGUGUGACUUCCUUCUGUGGAGCAUGUCCCAGUGCACAUAAAAUGAGGCCACUGAGCCAUCAUCUAUACAUUCUCCAACUGAGCAUUUUUCCUGUCCCUUCUGGACGGGCCAGCCAGUAUAAGUUCUCAAAGCACACAUACUGGGUGAAGCCAAAAAGGAAAUCUGUGAGGUGUUAGUGGAAAUUGUAUCUUUUUAGACUGUUAGGAAAUGGCACUAGAAAGGCACUACCUUUAAGACCAGGUUGGGUGGAGCUUUGAGCAGCAUGGUGUAGUGGAAGGUGUCUGCCCAUGGCAUGGCAGGGAGAUCAGAGUUAGAUGAUUUUUAAUGUCCUUUCCAACCCAAACCAUUCUAUGUUCUAGGAAAUCUAGAUUUCUUGGAAAUCUACUUCUACCUGCUCUGGACAGUGAUGUCUAAUGGCAUUUACUGUCUCCCAGGAAAGUGUCCCUGGCUACAGGGCUGCUCAAUAUUAUGUGAGAGGCUCUCUUGGUGUCUCCUUUAGUGCUUUUUUUCAUUACAAAUGGAUAAUUAAGCAGUCACAGACUAGGCAUCUGACUGGCUCUGCUUGUUGGAGGUUUAUGACAAUCUCAUGUGGCUCAAACGCCUCAUCUCAAAGAUGAUUAUUUAUAUAAAACUGAGUUAUUUCAACCCAUAGGACUAAGAGAAAACUCAUGGAGAAUAUCUGAUAUUCUGGUAGUUCAUAUCCAUAAUACAUACUGGAGUUGUGAGAGACUCGAGUCUCUCAGUCUGCUCAGCAGUCCAGUAGAAAAGAAAUUUUGAAGCAAGCCUUUUGCCCUGUAGCUACAUGCAUUAUGCACUGAAGUAUUACAGAGGAUCAGCUCUUUCUAGUGUCUCUUCAGCAGAGGACUGACCUGACUUUACUGUCUGAAGUCAAAGAGCCAUAGCUGGAUAUCAAGGGCAGAGAUAAGCCCCUUGCUAUUUUUGGAGAGCAGAACCAAAAAACACUGCCCUUUGUGAACCACCCUCUAACACAUUUCACUGUCCUGUAGAACAAUUGCUCUCAGCCUGCCCUUAGCCUCAAGGUUGCUAUCUCUAUUCCAUUUGCACAUACAAAAGUAUUUUUCCCCAAGACUUAUCAAUCCAAUGGGCUUUAUGUGUCUUUUCAAAUAUUUCUCAAAGUCCCCAGGAGUUAAAAAGAGCCUAACUUGAAGCUGAGGAUUGUACAAGGCAAAAAGACACCUUCCUAGAAUUAAGUGUUGCAGUGCUGAGGUUUUCAAUUCUCACUCCCUUGUGGUUGCCCAUCUUGUUUUCACUGCUCAAAUUUAACACCAAUAAACACAACAGAUGUACUCUUUUGGGCGUUCUUCUAUUUCAUAUUCAAAGUACAAGACUUCUUAACUCUAUUCUCUCUCCAUCACUGCUUUCCUGCCCCCCCAUGGACAGCCCACCUGCAGCCUCCCAUUUCUUUCACCUCCAGAAAAGCAGAAGCGGUUUUUGCCUGUUCUCCAGACCCCUGCUUUUCCUAUGAAACAAGAACUGAGAUGCUUUGAAAAUUUUAUUUCAGCUCUCCUGCUGUGCAGUCAGGUAACACAGAACAAAAGGAAGGUUUUGUCUUUGUGGUUUGAUUUCUAAAAAGGAAUAUGAAUUCUUCACCAUAAGGCAAUAAUUUUUCAAAGAAGGAGAAUCCAAAUAAAGUUAUUUUAGAAGGAUAAUACUGACACUAUAGAGGGACUGUAGUCAGGUAACACAGAACAAAAGGAAGGUUUUGUCUUUGUGGUUUGAUUUCUAAAAAGGAAUAUGAAUUCUUCACCAUAAGGCAAUAAUUUUUCAAAGAAGGAGAAUCCAAAUAAAGUUAUUUUAGAAGGAUAAUACUGACACUAUAGAGGGACUGUAGCUUAGUUUCCUUCUAGUUAUAUCAGCUACCUGGCACCUUAGAAGGAGAAAAUGCUGGUGUGCUACUCCACUUUUAAUAUUUGUAAGCAUAAAAAUGCUUUUAAAGGAAAUACUUAAAUUUAUUGAGAAAUUUCAGAUCUCAAGACUGUUAGUUGUACCAGUUCAAAUCAACUCUUAAAUCUUAUAAUAUUGCACUACAACAGCUAUUUAUCACAUCUCCCAGUAACUUGAGGAUUUAGGGAUAAUCUGACUCUGUUAUGGUGAAUUAUAAUAUUACUGAAAUGUUGCAAAAACACAGAAAUUGGAACUUUACUGAAGUUGCAAAUUGCUGUCCCAGAGGGGAGAUCUAUUUUGCAUCCAUCUGUGCAGCUCAAAUUCAGUAUCACAGGAACAUAUACAUGAUUUCUCUAAGAGUUUUACCUUUUCAGCAUGGACACACUGGGAUUUUUCUCAAAAAUAUCCUCAAGAUAUAUGUUUGUAUUUUUUUUAUUAUCAGUGUCAAGAUAUAAUCUAAGUAUCUUUCUACAUUUCUAAGGCAUAGAUGUCCAUAGAGCAAAAUGUUAGGACAAGGCCAUGCCUUGGGAAGCCCUAUUUCAACAGUGAUUAGACAGAGUUCAGGUAAUUAUCUUAGAUUUAGACAUCACUGACACUUAAAAUUAGUGAAUCACCCUUUUUGUGUAUAUACUUGAAUUUUUCUAUGUGCCUGUGAGGCUACUGUGUUAUAUUCAGAGAAAGUAAAAUACAAAUUCAGAUGAUUACCAAGAAUCACAAAGAAAGUCAGUAUCAAAGCAGAUUAACCUGUAUAAAUUAAUAGACACAGGCUUUAAUUUCGCAUUAGGUUUUGCCACAAUCAUCCUAAUCCCAGAAUUUGUCCUGUUUAAUCUCAAACAAUAGGAGAAACUUUUCUUUUUAUUCUACAACACACUCUUUAUUGCUUACAUGCCAUCAUCCUUCUCCUCAUGCAUUCAAAGCAAUCUCAUGCCAGUAUGAAACUGCAUUUCAGAGGUAAUAUAGUCCUGAUAUAUAUUUUUCCGAUUUGUGCUUUACAUGUAGAAUUGAUAACUAUUAUGGCAACUUCUCAGCCAUGAAACAAGAGCAGAUACUGCAUAAGAAAUAAAUUCUUAGACACAGAAAAUAAAAAGUAGGAAAAUUAAGUUAUUCUUGCUAUUAAAUAUACCAAAUAAUAGAUAUGGUAGGCAUCAUCUUGACAAACACACCUAGCUGAAGUGUUUAACGUAUGAAGUAUCUGCUGCUUAUUUAGGAAUCUGACACUGAGAUGAGUAACACAAUCACAUUACGUGGUGAACAUGUGAAAUAUCAGCAGUAAUUACUUAGGACUAAAAAGAGUUUUUCUACUUGCCUGUGUAUACUGAUGAUCUACCAUGCUAUGAUCUGCAUUUUGUUUAUACAAGGGUUAAAGGUUCUCAAAUUGUUUAAUAUUUUGUCAGAAAACUAUGAAAAAACUGCAAAUGUUCAACAAAACCAAAGGAGGAAGCCAAUCCCUACAAUCUUCCAAGCUGCAGAGGGAGAUAUCUUCUCAAAAUAACUAGGAAGAAAUUCUUACUCAUGUGAGAUGCCUAAUUCUCAGAUGUUUUGAGACUGCUUUGUGGAUAUCUAGCUAAAUGUAGCCUCGGAGAGUUUUUCUUCUUUCCAGUAAAGGAGCAUAAAUUCAUAUUUCAUGGUUGAAUUUUGCACAAAGUAUUUUCCAAAUCUUUUUUAAUAUUUUUUCACCAUUUGAAGAGCAGAAUGGAGAACCUGAAACAGCCUCUCUAACCACUCUGCUUGGCACUGUUUAACAGGAGACCAGGAACACCAGAAAGCAGGAAAAAGCCGCAUCAUGUUCUCUCUUUGCUAAGUUUUGAAAGCAAAAGUAAGCCAAAGGGAGGUGGAAAACUGGGGAAAAUUCUCCAGGCUCCACAGGGGAUUUCAUUUAAACACUAUGCUGAGAUACUUGCAACUCUGCAGCUAAGACCAAAAAAAAACCACAGGCCCACCUGUGUGACUACCACAUGUAGCCUUUGCAAUUCAUGAUGAAAAGCAAUGCUUCACAACUUUUAUAUUUUAUUAUUUAAAGCACAUUGUCACAUGGCAUGUCAUAUCCAUCAUUUUGCACUCACUCUCAGACUGAAAAAGAGAACGGAAAAUUUGAAACACUGUCUGUGAAUACUUUAAUAUUCUUUCAAAGAACGCAGGUUUUGUUUGAAUCAAUCUCAAAUUAUUCUACCAGUUAUUCCAUGGGGAAAAUAUAUACAUCUUCUUCCAAGAAAUUAUGUGAAAUUAUCUGCAUAGAAGGUGGAGAAAGUCAUUACAAGGUUUUGGACAGAUGUUUUACUAGUUUAUAUGUCCCAUACAAACUACAUCUAAAUGUUGAUUUGGGAAAACAACAUCUGCCCAGAACAAGCUGACAUUUUUUCCUCUUUUUUCCAUUUUAACCAAGCACUGCCUGAGCAAUCAUUCGUUAGGAGUAAUAACAUUUAAUAUAGUACUUCUUUUCCCCUACAGAGUCCCAAAGCAAA